AUUGAACGCUAGCGGCAGGCUUAACACAUGCAAGUCGAACGAGUGGCGGACGGGUGAGUAAUGUAUGGGAAAGUGCCUGAUGGAGGGGGAUAACUACUGGAAACGGUAGCUAAUACCGCAUACUAUCAGAUGUGCCGAGAUGGGAUUAGCUAGUUGGUGGGGUAAAGGGUCACCAAGGCAACGAUCCCUAGCUGGUCUGAGAGGAUGACCAGCCACACUGGAACUGAGACACGGUCCAGACUCCUACGGGAGGCAGCAGUGGGGAAUUUUGCACAAUGGGCGAAAGCCUGAUGCAGCCAUGCCGCGUGUAUGAUGAAGGCCUUCGGGUUGUAAAGUACUUUCAGCGGAGAGGCGUUACCCGCAGAAUAAGCACCGGCUAACUCCGUGCCAGCAGCCGCGGUAAUAC
rnacentral:rRNA from 1 species